AGUGAACGCUGGCGGUAGGCCUAACACAUGCAAGUCGAACGGCAGCACAGUAAGAGCUUGCUCUUACGGGUGGCGAGUGGCGGACGGGUGAGGAAUACAUCGGAAUCUACUUUUUCGUGGGGGAUAACGUAGGGAAACUUACGCUAAUACCGCAUACGACCUACGGGUGAAAGCAGGGGAUCCUCGGACCUUGCGCGAUUGAAUGAGCCGAUGUCGGAUUAGCUAGUUGGCGGGGUAAAGGCCCACCAAGGCGACGAUCCGUAGCUGGUCUGAGAGGAUGAUCAGCCACACUGGAACUGAGACACGGUCCAGACUCCUACGGGAGGCAGCAGUGGGGAAUAUUGGACAAUGGGCGCAAGCCUGAUCCAGCCAUACCGCGUGGGUGAAGAAGGCCUUCGGGUUGUAAAGCCCUUUUGUUGGGAAAGAAAAGCAGCAGGUUAAUACCCAGCUGUUCUGACGGUACCCAAAGAAUAAGCACCGGCUAACUUCGUG
rnacentral:rRNA from 1 species